UACGUAGGGGGCAAGCGUUGUCCGGAAUUAUUGGGCGUAAAGAGCGUGUAGGCGGCCAGGUAGGUCUGCUGUGAAAACUCGAGGCUUAACCUCGAGCUGUCGGCGGAAACCAUCUGGCUAGAGUCCGGAAGAGGAGAAUGGAAUUCCCGGUGUAGCGGUGAAAUGCGCAGAUAUCGGGAAGAACACCCGUGGCGAAGGCGGUUCUCUGGGACGGUACUGACGCUGAGACGCGAAAGCGUGGGGAGCGAACAGG
rnacentral:rRNA from 1 species